rnacentral:rRNA from 1 species
GGCUCAGGAUGAACGCUAGCGGCAGGCUUAAUACAUGCAAGUCGUGGGGCAGCAGGUUUGUAGCAAUACAGAUGCUGGCGACCGGCAAACGGGUGCGGAACACGUACAGAACCUUCCUUUGAGCGGGGAAUAGCCCAGAGAAAUUUGGAUUAAUACCCCAUAGUAUAAUGAAGUGGCAUCACUUUAUUAUUAAAGAUUUAUCACUCGAAGAUGGCUGUGCGGCUGAUUAGGUAGUUGGCGGGGUAAAGGCCCACCAAGCCUGCGAUCAGUAACUGGUGUGAGAGCACGACCAGUCACACGGGCACUGAGACACGGGCCCGACUCCUACGGGAGGCAGCAGUAAGGAAUAUUGGUCAAUGGAGGCAACUCUGAACCAGCCAUGCCGCGUGGAGGAUGAAGGUCCUCUGGAUUGUAAACUUCUUUUAUAUGGGACGAAAAAGGCUUUUCUAAGUCGUCUGACGGUACCAUAUGAAUAAGCACCGGCUAACUCCGUG